UACGUAAGAGGCAAGCGUUGUCCGGAAUUACUGGGCGUAAAGCGCGUGUAGGUGGUGGGACAAGUCUGCUGUGAAAGCGCCUGGCUUAACCGGGCGAGGUCGGCGGAAACUGUCGACUCGAGGACGGUAGAGGGGGGUGGAAUUCCCGGUGUAGUGGUGAAAUGCGUAGAGAUCGGGAGGAACACCUGUGGCGAAGGCGGCCCCCUGGGCCGGCCCUGACACUGAGACGCGAAGGCGUGGGGAGCGAACGGG
rnacentral:rRNA from 1 species